CUCUCUUGUUUCGAUUUAAUCUGUUCAUCUUCUUGAUCAGUUUUAGAUCGAUCCGUUUUGUUUCAACUGAUCUGUUCUUUGAUUCACAAUAUCCAUUGAUUGAUCUGUAAUCCGUGGUUGUUUGAUUGUGUGAUCUAAUCGUUUUGUGUCGAUCUCAUUGUUAAAAGCUUUGAAUUGAUAGAUCUAGGUUUCGCGCUUUUAGAUCCGAUUGUUAUCGAUUCAUA
rnacentral:lncRNA from 1 species